UACAGAGGUCUCAAGCGUUGUUCGGAUUCAUUGGGCGUAAAGGGUGCGUAGGUGGCGCCGUAAGUCAGGUGUGAAAUUUUCGGAGCUUAACUCCGAAACUGCAUUUGAUACUGCGGUGCUUGAGGACUGGAGAGGAGACUGGAAUUUACGGUGUAGCAGUGAAAUGCGUAGAGAUCGUAAGGAAGACCAGUGGCGAAGGCGGGUCUCUGGACGAGUUUCCUGAC
rnacentral:rRNA from 1 species